UGCUUCCUGAAAUGAGAAAGGAUGGUGAGAUCUUUUUUAUUUUGUUUUUCAAUUUUUGUUAUAUUUUCUUUGCAGACUUUAAACAAGUAUGAGAGAAAUUGUAAUCUUGGCAGGCAAAAUGAUGUAACACAUGAUAUUACUUGUUAUUUCUGCAUGCUACACAAAUACAAAUGAAAUUAUUGAUCUUAAAGACAAUUCAGAACAGUUUAGAAAUGAACAAGUAAACGCACAUGUCAUCUCAAUAAUUGGGAUGACUUGAUUUAUUUUUAUAAUUUCUCUCUGGCCAGGAUGUACCAUACAGCCAUUUCAGCACCUCUAGUCCAUUCUUUGAAGACUGAGGAAAAUGAUCCAUAUAGUAGACCUCAACUAGAUUGGGUUUGAGGCUGAGUUGAAUGUGGAAACACCUGGAACACUCCUAAAAACAAUGCUUUCUGGAACACUCCUAAAAACAAUGCUUUCUAUGGAAAAAUAUUGAAUGUUUCUCCAUAUUCAGUGGCUUGGUUGGGACACAGGUGUAUUUAAAAAAUCACUAAAUCAUGCUUUUGACUCAAUACCACUGGACAAAAAUGCAUGCUAUAGUGUUGAGAAUAAGAGAACAAAGAUCUUUCUCUAAAUGGGAGAAAAUGGGUAAAAGAUAUGGAAGGUUAUAGUUUGAAGUUAGUGAAGUUUGGAAAGAAAAGAGGAGAAAAUGAAAGGGAAUGAAAGUUAGGAUAGGGAUAGUGGUGGUUUUCACUAAUUAUUUGCAUCUUUAUAUACCAUUCAUCUGUUAUGUCCACUAGUUAGCAUUAAAGACUAUACCAUAGUUUACAAAUGAUGUUCUGUGAAAUGUACUCUCUUGCUUCGGUUUCAAGCUAGAUGGGUUAUUGCUUUUCUAGUUUAAUAGGUAGAUGAUGGAUAAUGAGUAUUAACAACUCACAUUGCUGUUGGUUUAACUAGGACAAUGUUCUUCGAAGCUACCAUGUAGCAAACAACCUUGACAGCAAGACAUUCUUUCUUUCAUUUUCUUC
rnacentral:misc_RNA from 1 species